rnacentral:lncRNA from 1 species
GUGCUUGAUCUGGAGCUCCUUGAACUUGUGCACCAGCUUCUCGGGGUCCAUCUCAACCGGGGAGAGCGUGUCCUCGUUCUCAGCCAGCUCGAACACCUCGAUGGCCAUCUCACUGCUGGGGAACAUGGGGCUCAUCUCCUCCUCCUCAUCCGUGGCGUAUUCCCCUGUCUCCUCGUCGUCCUCGGUGUACUGCGUGUAGCGCUGCUCGAUCAUCUCCCGCUGCCACCGUUCCUGCUCCAGCGUCUGCUGGAUCAGCUGGGCCACCUCGCUCUGCUCACCCGGCUUCUCCCGCCCGAUGAGGAACCGGACGCGGCCCUUGGUGUUCCUGAGCACGGAGGCAGCGAAGCUCUGCGUCACUCCCACCAGGCUGG